AUGGAUCCAAAAAAUAACGUAUCAGAAAUCCACAUCUCAGAAAGAGAACAAAGUCAGAAAUCAGAUUUCCAGCCCAACAAGCAAAGGCCUCAUUUGUUACAUAACAUUAAUCAGAAUUUUGGUUUAAUCAUGGGCCUAACUCUAUCUAUGGAAAAUCACAAGCAAAGUUGGUUCACAAAAGACAAAAUUACAAGAGGUCUGAAUCAUAAUUGCAAACUCGGUAAAGUCCAGCAUCACAUUCACAGCAUAUCAGCCCAAGCAACAAACAAGAAAAAUUAG